rnacentral:rRNA from 1 species
UACGGGGGGGGGUAAGCGUUGUUCGGAAUUACUGGGCGUAAAGGGCUCGUAGGCGGCCAACUAAGUCAGACGUGAAAUCCCUCAGCUUAACUGGGGAACUGCGUCUGAUACUGGAUGGCUUGGAUCCGGAAGAGGGAUGCGGAAUUCCAGGUGUAGCGGUGAAAUGCGUAGAUAUCAGGAGGAACACCAAUGGCGAAGGCAGCUCGCUGGGACGGUACUGACGCUGAGACGCGAAAGCGUGGGGAGCAAACAGG